rnacentral:rRNA from 1 species
GUGGGGAAUAUUGGACAAUGGGGGGAACCCUGAUCCAGCCAUGCCGCGUGUGUGAAGAAGGCCUUUUGGUUGUAAAGCACUUUAAGCGAGGAGGAGGCUACCGAGAUUAAUACUCUUGGAUAGUGGACGUUACUCGCAGAAUAAGCACCGGCUAACUCUGUGCCAGCAGCCGCGGUAAUACAGAGGGUGCAAGCGUUAAUCGGAUUUACUGGGCGUAAAGCGCGCGUAGGUGGCCAAUUAAGUCAAAUGUGAAAUCCCCGAGCUUAACUUGGGAAUUGCAUUCGAUACUGGUUGGCUAGAGUAUGGGAGAGGAUGGUAGAAUUCCAGGUGUAGCGGUGAAAUGCGUAGAGAUCUGGAGGAAUACCGAUGGCGAAGGCAGUCAUCUGGCCUAAUACUGACACUGAGGUGCGAAAGCAUGGGGAGCAAACAGGAUUAGAUACCCGGGUAGUCC